GCGCCGAUGAUAGUGCUGCAACCAGUGUGAAAGUAGGUUAUCGUCAGGC
rnacentral:rRNA from 3 species